rnacentral:lncRNA from 1 species
UAUGCAUAUUAUUUCAGUCACACUGAUGGCCGGGGCGCUCCUGCAACUAUUUCCCAUGCCAUUUAACUUUUAUUUUUUUUUCUCAAUUUCAGGAAGAAAAGACACUGUGAUUUUAUUGCUAAAACAACUACUGCUUCCAACUGUAAUGGGAUGCAAUUGUGGGCCGUGUACUGGCAAGUCUACAUAUCAGGUCCAGCCAGAACACAAGGCCUAUUUUUGGUUUUGGUUACAUUCGGCUGUGAACAUUGGCAUGAAGGGCGAGGGGCUCCGUGAUAGAGAGCAUUUUUCUGCUCUUUAUUUAAAUAGGCUCCUUCCCAGAAGAGUAACGACCCAAAAUUUGCAGUUCCAGUAAAAUGCUGUCGGAGGAGUGCUGGGGAAAAAAAGAGAGAGUGCAAGAGGAGAGAAAGACCAGCUCUUCUUGAACAUCUUACCAUCCUGAAAAGCUGAAGAUGCCUUCCCUUCACCCAACUCAGGCGUCGCCGGCAGAAGGAGGAGCAGUGGGUUCAACACACGCUGUUAACAGCUCCACGCUCUCUAACAAGGUACUGAGAGAGGCCCUGAAAAUUAGUAUCCACACCCCAGCAGCAAUUACCGCAAGAAUUUUUCAGUUGAUUAGACAACGCUGCCC